GCUAGCGGCAGGCCUAACACAUGCAAGUCGAGGGGUAACAUUGGUGCUUGCACCAGAUGACGACCGGCGCACGGGUGCGUAACGCGUAUACAAUCUACCUUUUGCUAAGGGAUAGCCCAGAGAAAUUUGGAUUAAUACCUUAUAGUAUGCAGACUUCUCAUGGAGAUUGCAUUAAAGAUUACGGCAAAAGAUGAGUAUGCGUCCUAUUAGUUUGUUGGUGUGGUAACGGCACACCAAGACUACGAUAGGUAGGGGCCCUGAGAGGGGGAUCCCCCACACUGGUACUGAGACACGGACCAGACUCCUACGGGAGGCAGCAGUGAGGAAUAUUGGACAAUGGAGGCAACUCUGAUCCAGCCAUGCCGCGUGCAGGAAGACUGCCCUAUGGGUUGUAAACUGCUUUUAUACAGGAAGAAACACUCCCUCGUGAGGGAGCUUGACGGUACUGUAAGAAUAAGGAUCGGCUAACUCCGUGCCAGCAGCCGCGGUAAUACGGAGGAUCCAAGCGUUAUCCGGAAUCAUUGGGUUUAAAGGGUCCGUAGGUGGAUAAUUAAGUCAGAGGUGAAAGUUUGCAGCUCAACUGUAAAAUUGCCUUUGAUACUGGUUAUCUUGAGUUAUUGUGAAGUAGUUAGAAUAUGUAGUGUAGCGGUGAAAUGCAUAGAUAUUACAUAGAAUACCAAUUGCGAAGGCAGAUUACUAACAAUAUACUGACACUGAUGGACGAAAGCGUGGGUAGCGAACAGGAUUAGAUACCCUGGUAGUCCACGCCGUAAACGAUGGAUACUAGCUGUUGGGCUUCGGCUCAGUGGCUAAGCGAAAGUGAUA
rnacentral:rRNA from 1 species